CAGAACACAGUUGCCCACAUUAAUCCAACCAUUCAAAAGAUACAACAUGCAAUACACAAAUUCAUACAAUUCAAAUUCAAUCAUGUCCAUAUAGUCCAAUUUAAUACACAUAACAUUCAAACUUUCCACAUCAGUCCAAACCAUCCAAAGAAAUAGCCAUCUUUCAAUUAACUAUUCCAUAACCCAAUCCCAAUUCCGUAACACAUUUUCAAACACAACCUAUGAUUCACAGCACCGCAACCCUUAACAUAAAUCCCAA
rnacentral:lncRNA from 1 species